AAAACCCUGGGCGUGAUAGGUACUCUGCUGGGUAAGAGGAGACGCGUGCCCCCCGUCUACUCCUCCCGGUCGCGCCGACCUUUCCCGCGGAGCUCUGGACCUGCAUUCCUUUGAGUUUACCGCGGACUUAGGGCGGGAUCAAAGGGAAAGUGGCCUGCGCCUGUUUAAUCAAGGGUUUGUGGACCGAAACUAAGGCUGGGGGCUGCGGAGGGCACGCGAGUGAGCGGCCCGGGCGGAGGAAGGGCGGGUCCUGACUGCCGCGCCCUCCCUUCGUGCUCGGUGUCGAGGCCCCGAGCGCCCAGAGCGCCGCACUGAUCCGAGGUUCUGUCUGAGGGCGGGCUCGGGUCCGCCCUGGCUCAGGGAGACGAGGCCAGCCUUUCCACGGGAGGCUGCUUAGCGCUUGUGACCAUAUUUGGUCUGGCGAGGAGGCAUCUUGGCUUGCAGUUGUCUGCUAGAGCGCAGACGGUGCCCAGAAAGUGCCUCUGUCACUAGAGCUGCGGCUUCGCCAACGGGUGCGUUGUAAACAAACAACCUUGAAACCAUUCAUCAAACCUUAGUCUCCUAGCGUGACUCGGGUCACUAGAAAUUGAGAAGGAACCUGGCCAAAGCUGGGUACUGGAAAGGGAGAGCAAUCGCGCCUCCCCUUCCCCCGCGACAUCCGCGCGGGUUGUGGGAGGAUUGGAAUGUCCCUGACGCCCUCCAGAGAGCCUGGAGCCGGGAUGGAACCCGAGCAGGUGGCUGGGAGUAGAGAGGGUGCGCCAGUGACCCAGAAAAAACCACCCACCCUCCCACCGACUGGAUCUAGGAGAGGGGUGGAGACCCCCAGCCCCUAGAUCUAGCUUGGCGAGACAGCUGCGGGGAGUAGGAGGCGGCCUUGGCCUUCGGAGCAGCUCAAUUCCUUCUUCCCUUGUCCCCUCUCCACUGGGGGGAAAGGGAAAGCGGCUGCGAGUAGGCUCCACACCCAGCAUAGAACCCAACAUGGGGCUUAAACUCACAACCUUGAGAUCAAGAACUGAGCAGAAAUCAAGGGCUGGACGCUUAACUGACCAAGUCACCCAGGAGCCCCAGCCAACUCUUGAUCAGAAAGGAGCAAGGUCACAUGGUAAAAUGAUGAGGUGGGAUGAGAACUAUUGAUACAGCCAUCUUUGGAAAAUAUUACCUGCCAAGUUUCAGCCAAAUACUGCAAAGUACUUCACAAAUGUUUAACUCAGGAAUCCUCAGAACAACCAAGAAAGGAAGACUUUUGAAAGGAAGGAAGAAAACAGCUCUCAUCCUCAUGAUUCAGUGAGGAAUCUAAGGUCAGAAGAAAUGAAUCUAUACCUAGCUAAGUGACACCACUGGCAGGACUCUUGACAUGCAAAGACAGUCCUC